rnacentral:rRNA from 1 species
AACGAACGCUGGCGGCAUGCCUAACACAUGCAAGUCGAACGAGACCUUCGGGUCUAGUGGCGCACGGGUGCGUAACGCGUGGGAACCUGCCCUUAGGUUCGGAAUAACUCCCCGAAAGGGGUGCUAAUACCGGAUAAUGUCUUCGGACCAAAGAUUUAUCGCCUUUGGAUGGGCCCGCGUUUGGUUAGCUAGUUGGUAGGGUAAAAGCCUACCAAGGCGACGAUCCAUAGCUGGUCUGAGAGGAUGAUCAGCCACACUGGGACUGAGACACGGCCCAGACUCCUACGGGAGGCAGCAGUGGGGAAUAUUGGACAAUGGGCGAAAGCAUGAUCCAGCAAUGCCGCGUGAGUGAUGAAGGCCCUAGGGUUGUAAAGCUCUUUUACCCGGGAUGAUAAUGACAGUACCGGGAGAAUAAGCUCCGGCUAACUCCGUG